rnacentral:rRNA from 1 species
UACGAAGGGGGGCUAGCGUUGCUCGGAAUCACUGGGCGUAAAGCGCACGUAGGCGGAUUGUUAAGUCAGGGGUGAAAUCCUGGAGCUCAACUCCAGAACUGCCCUUGAUACUGGCGAUCUCGAGUUCGGGAGAGGUGAGUGGAACUGCGAGUGUAGAGGUGAAAUUCGUAGAUAUUCGCAAGAACACCAGUGGCGAAGGCGGCUCACUGGCCCGAUACUGACGCUGAGGUGCGAAAGCGUGGGGAGCAAACAGG